GAUGAACGCUGGCGGCGUGCUUAACACAUGCCAGUCGAACGGAAAGGCCCAAGCUUGCUUGGGUACUCGAGUGGCGAACGGGUGAGUAACACGUGGGUGAUCUGCCCUGCACUUCGGGAUAAGCCUGGGAAACUGGGUCUAAUACCGGAUAGGACCACAUUUUGGAUGGUGUGGUGGAAAGUUUUUCGGUGUGGGAUGAGCUCGCGGCCUAUCAGCUUGUUGGUGGGGUAAUGGUCUACCAAGGCGUCGACGGGUAGCCGGCCUGAGAGGGUGUACGGCCACAUUGGGACUGAGAUACGGCCCAGACUCCUACGGGAGGCAGCAGUGGGGAAUAUUGCACAAUGGGCGCAAGCCUGAUGCAGCGACGCCGCGUGGGGGAUGACGGCCUUCGGGUUGUAAACUCCUUUCGCUAGGGACGAAGCGUUAUGUGACGGUACCUGGAGAAGAAGCACCGGCUAACUACGUG
rnacentral:rRNA from 1 species